AUGCCCAGUGAUUAUAACAAGACGCGUUAUUACGAGGAUCAGCACUGGAACUCUCCUACCUUCCUGCUACUCACUUUUUUCCUUUUCCUCUUUUCCUCUUCCUCUUCCUCUCUUUCUUCCCUCCUCCUCCCUUCUUGGAGUUUCUGGUGUCCUGUGAGCAAGAUUAUGAGAUAUGAGGGCAA